rnacentral:rRNA from 1 species
AGGACGAACGCUGGCGGCGUGCUUAACACAUGCAAGUCGAACGGUGAACCGGGCUUCGGCCCGGGGAUCAGUGGCGAACGGGUGCGUAACACGUGGGCAACCUGCCCCAGACACUGGGAUAACUCCGGGAAACCGGGGCUAAUACCGGAUACUCCGGUCGAACCUCAUGGUUCGAUCGGGAAAGCUCCGACGGUCUGGGAUGGGCCCGCGGCCUAUCAGCUUGUUGGCGAGGUAACGGCUCACCAAGGCGACGACGGGUAGCUGGUCUGAGAGGACGACCAGCCACACUGGAACUGAGAUACGGUCCAGACUCCUACGGGAGGCAGCAGUGGGGAAUCUUGCACAAUGGGCGAAAGCCUGAUGCAGCGACGCCGCGUGGGGGACGAAUGCCUUCGGGUGUAAACCCUUUCGGCAGGAGAAGCGCAAGUGACGGUACCUGCAGAAGAAGUCCCGGCUAACUACGUGCCAGCAGCCGC